rnacentral:rRNA from 1 species
UACAGAGGGGGCAAGCGUUGUUCGGAAUUACUGGGCGUAAAGCGCGCGUAGGCGGCUCUUCAAGUCAGGCGUGAAAGCCCCGGGCUUAACUCGGGAACUGCGCUUGAUACUGUCGAGCUAGAGUGUGGAAGGGGCGAUUGGAAUUCCGUGUGUAGCGGUGAAAUGCGUAGAUAUACGGAGGAACACCAGAGGCGAAGGCGGAUCGCUGGGCCAACACUGACGCUGAUGUGCGAAAGCUAGGGGAGCAAACGGG